rnacentral:rRNA from 1 species
UAAUACAGAGGGUGCAAGCGUUGUUCGGAAUUACUGGGCGUAAAGCGCGUGUAGGCGGUCUCGCAAGUCGGAUGUGAAAGCCCUUGGCUUAACCAAGGAACUGCAUUCGAAACUACAAGACUAGAGUAUCGGAGGGGGUGGCGGAAUUCCCGGUGUAGAGGUGAAAUUCGUAGAUAUCGGGAGGAACACCUGUGGCGAAGGCGGCCACCUGGAAGAUUACUGACGCUGAGACGCGAAAGCGUGGGGAGCAAACAGGAUUAGAUACCCUGGUAGUCCACGCCGUAAACGAUGAGUGCUAGGUGUUGCGGGUAUUGACCCCUGCAGUGCCAAAGCUAACGCGUUAAGCACUCCGCCUGGGGAGUACGGUCGCAAGAUUA